GGUCAUGCUUUUCCACAGCUUUCUUGAACUUUCUUUGAGUACUAACUCCGUCUUAAGGGAGAAAGAAAAAGAAAAAAACAUAACAUUUGCUAGCGCACCAUGGAAGCUCAAGAAAGCUGUGGGAAAACAUGAUGG
rfam:Gossypium raimondii Chr01_contig_73, whole genome shotgun sequence.